UGGGGUAUAUUGCACAAUGGGGGAAACCCUGAUGCAGCGACGCCGCGUGAACGAAGAAGGUAUUCGUAUCGUAAAGUUCUGUCCAAUGGGAAGAUAAUGACAGUACCAUAGAAGAAAGCUCCGGCUAAAUACGUGCCAGCAGCCGCGGUAAUACGUAUGGAGCGAGCGUUGUCCGGAAUUAUUGGGCGUAAAGGGUACGCAGGCGGUUUAAUAAGUCGAAUGUUAAAGAUCGGGGCUCAACCCCGCAAAGCAUUGGAAACUGAUAAACUUGAGUAGUGGAGAGGAAAGUGGAAUUACUAGUGUAGUGGUGAAAUACGUAGAUAUUAGGAGGAAUACCAGUAGCGAAGGCGACUUUCUGGACACAAACUGACGCUGAGGUACGAAAGCGUGGGGAGCAAACAGG
rnacentral:rRNA from 1 species